GACGAACGCUGGCGGCGUGCUUAACACAUGCAAGUCGAACGGAAAGGCCCUGCUUGCAGGGUACUCGAGUGGCGAACGGGUGAGUAACACGUGGGUGAUCUGCCCUGCACUUCGGGAUAAGCCUGGGAAACUGGGUCUAAUACCGGAUAGGAGCCAUUUUUAGUGUGAUGGUUGGAAAGUUUUUUCGGUGCAGGAUGAGCUCGCGGCCUAUCAGCUUGUUGGUGGGGUAAUGGCCUACCAAGGCGGCGACGGGUAGCCGGCCUGAGAGGGUGGACGGCCACAUUGGGACUGAGAUACGGCCCAGACUCCUACGGGAGGCAGCAGUGGGGAAUAUUGCACAAUGGGCGCAAGCCUGAUGCAGCGACGCCGCGUGGGGGAUGACGGCCUUCGGGUUGUAAACUCCUUUCGCUAGGGACGAAGCUUUUUGUGACGGUACCUAGAUAAGAAGCACCGGCUAACUACGUG
rnacentral:rRNA from 1 species